UACAGAGGUCCCAAGCGUUGUUCGGAUUCACUGGGUUUAAAGGGUGCGUAGGUGGGCAAGUAAGUCAGUGGUGAAAUCUCCGGGCUUAACCCGGAAACUGCCAUUGAUACUAUUUGUCUUGAAUACUGUGGAGGUCAGCGGAAUAUGUCAUGUAGCGGUGAAAUGCUUAGAUAUGACAUAGAACACCAAUUGCGAAGGCAGCUCGUUACACGAAUAUUGACUCUGAGGCACGAAAGCGUGGGGAUCAAACAGG
rnacentral:rRNA from 1 species